rnacentral:rRNA from 1 species
CACGUAGGGCGCAAGCGUUGUCCGGAAUUAUUGGGCGUAAAGAGCUCGUAGGCGGUCUGUUGCGUCCGCUGUGAAAACCCGGGGCUUAACCCUGGGCUGGCAGUGGAUACGGACAGACUAGAGGUAGGUAGGGGAGAAUGGAAUUCCCGGUGUAGCGGUGAAAUGCGCAGAUAUCGGGAGGAACACCGGUGGCGAAGGCGGAUCUCUGGGCCAUUACUGACACUGAGGCGCGAAAGCGUGGGGAGCGAACAGG